rnacentral:rRNA from 1 species
CCUACGGGUGGCAGCAGUGGGGAAUAUUGGACAAUGGGCGAAAGCCUGAUCCAGCCAUGCCGCGUGUGUGAAGAAGGCCUUCGGGUUGUAAAGCACUUUCAGUGGGGAAGAAAGCCUUGGGGCUAAUACCCUCGAGGAAGGACAUCACCCACAGAAGAAGCACCGGCUAACUCCGUGCCAGCAGCCGCGGUAAUACGGAGGGUGCGAGCGUUAAUCGGAAUUACUGGGCGUAAAGCGCGCGUAGGCGGUCUGAUAAGCCGGUUGUGAAAGCCCCGGGCUCAACCUGGGAACGGCAUCCGGAACUGUCAGGCUAGAGUGCAGGAGAGGAAGGUAGAAUUCCCGGUGUAGCGGUGAAAUGCGUAGAGAUCGGGAGGAAUACCAGUGGCGAAGGCGGUCUUCUGGACUGACACUGACGCUGAGGUGCGAAAGCGUGGGUAGCAAACAGGAUUAGAUACCCUGGUAGAC